UUUUAAAUUAACGAUUCGAGAAUAGGCAGCCAGCUUGUCACAAACACCACGCACCAUUGCAUAAAACAGAUACUAGAAGGAAUUACGUCACCUGUUUUACUUUGUCGUUUAGGAAAUUGGAAAUGGGAAUUUUCCAUUAGCCAAAAAACGAACACAGAAUUUAAUACAACUGUCCCUACGGCUGUGUUCACUAACAUCAUCAUCAUCCGCUUGGGUUCGUGAUCCGCGCGGCACGAGAGAAGCCGGUAGAAACAAAAGCGAUAGAAAGAGUACAACACACGACACGCGCAUCGCAUCUCAUUCAACGCAACCAUCACACCACACCACUACUACCGAGAGAGAGAGAUGGAGCCGGAGAGCGAGUGUGAGAGAUGGGCCCGUGCACGCGUCAGCCUCGCACGAGAAAGGUCGUUUAGAGGUCAGAUGGAAAAAGUGGUCCUCUGUGCAUCAGCUUCGCCGGUAAUUGUGGACACAAAUCCUAUUGGAAAAGAAGCAGGGCAGAAAAGCAAGUAGGAAAGACACUGGAAGAAUGGUGUCCAGCACAAAUGACUAUUAAUGUAUUAAUGGCAGAGGGCGCAAUACAUUAAUCAAUUGAUAAAGCUGACCUCGGUACCGACCACCGCAGCGCGACUGCUUUCACGGUCUCUGUGUUCUAAAGCCUGAACGGUGUUCGCGAUUGUGUAAUACAAUCAAUAGUGUGCGCGCCCUUCGAGUCAUUUCAACCCGAUGACAGUGAAGCUUCCCAUGAUGAGCGGGAUUAGCAGCAAAGAUGGAGAUGGAGCCCCUUUUUUAUAAUUUGAUGCUCCCCACCAGUGAAAGUGCACCAGCAACGGAAGGGAGUGCACUUACUAUUGCCUCACUCUACACAUGCACCAGUCGGCUGAUAAUAAUUGGAACCUUCCAGAACUUCCCUCCGUGUCGCAUACGGGAAUGAUGGGAAGCAUCACAAUUUCAGGCGCGGUUGCUUAGCAAAAAGGGCAGGAAAAAGCACGCCUGCUACACGUAUGUAGACGAACAAAAAAAAACACUCUUUGGUACAUUUCACUUUUCUUCGCCCAUUGACAAUUAUCGAUCAAAGAUGGCCUCGUUUUUUGGCGUGGAAAUGAGCAGGGGAUGAUGUUAUCAAGGGGCAAAAGAGAUUAAAGGGUAGAACGAAGAAAAGGAGGGAUAAUUUGGAUGGAUAGUUCUUCCUCCAAAAUUCCAACCUCUUUAGCACAGGCACAGCAACUACCUUCACCUCACCUCACACUACACUAUUACCACUUACCGUUAG